UCAAUUAAUCUCACUUAAUUCACUUAACAACAAAUUAACCAAAAAGAGGAAAUUAGGGUAAACGAAUGUGACGCAUCAGAUUACCUCUGAAUAAUUCACCUCUCUCUCCCACGCGAAAGCGUAGACGGCGACCGGAAUCGCCGUCCCGUCUCCGAUUGCCCACUCCGACUCCCUCUUUCGAUCUCCAGUUCCAUCUUCGAUUGGUUCUCCCGCUAAUCUUCGUCAAAUCACCGGCUCUUCGAUAUGAUGACGAUGAAGCUCGGUGAAUUGGUGCUGAUGGAGAUGCGAUAAUAAUGAUGAAGAAUCGUGAAAAAAACUUCUGGAGAUUUAGGUGUGAAGAUGAUGAACGCCGAUGAAUAUUGAUGAUAAAGGUUGUUACAAUUGCACUGAUGAAGAUGAUGAAUUUGAUUCAAAGAGGUAAGAUGGAUGAAGAUUAGAGAGAGUUUGUUACCGGUUAGAGUUUGUUACGUUUCUCUCUUUUUUCGAUUAUGAGUUUCUUUUCUCUCUUCUGUUAAUUUUGGUUCUGGAAUUUUCUAUUGAAGAUUGAUGAAUGAUGUUACGGUGAAUCAUUGAAGAAUCAUGACGCUGAACGAGAGAGAAGCUUAAUUCGUUACAGUUCAGUACCAUUCGAUAAUUGCUUUUUCUUGUAGUUUUCUUCAAAUUGAAAUGAAUUUCUCAGAGUUGAAUGAAGAUUCAAGAUCCAGUUCUGAGAUUGGUGAGUUCUUGAAGAUUGCUGAAUUCAGUGAUGUGAGGUCGAUGGACAAAGAGAGAAGAUGAAUUCAGUAUAUUGAUUCUGUUUGAAAUUCGGUUAUAUGAAAGUGAAGAAGCUUGAAUUUGUGGUGAUGGCUGAGAAUUCCCGAUUGGGAGAAGAAGGUUCAAGAAUAUGGAGAAGGUAGAUUGAAGAUUUUUGAGAAGAAGAUCCCAGAGAGAGCCAGAGUUUGUUACAGGGUCGGUUCUAGCUUAAUUGUGUGGCGGUUUUGUUUUGAGGCUUGGAUAAGGUGCAGGCUGCGGUUUUGUGGUUCACCGCUUAAGACAUGUCAUGGUAUUCUCGCACAUGGGGCAAAUUUGAAGGUCGAAGAAUUUGAAGAUUAGCAUAGUAAAAUGGAUUUUAGGAUGACCACUUACUUAUCUUUUGCAACUUAUCCUUUGUAACUCAAUUUUUGUAACAAACUGUAUGCAUUUUCCUUGAAUUUGAACGGAUUUGGAUGUAUGUAUUUUUCUUGAAUUUGAAUGGAUACUUGGAUGAAUGUGAAUGAUAUUUGUAUUUAA